rnacentral:lncRNA from 10 species
GGCUGGUCAAAUUGAUGGAGUUCAGGCUUAAACAUGAGCAUUCUUAGUCCAAUUCCAACUGUCUUUCCAUUACACCUCUCCUUUUUUGUUUUGUUUUGUUUUUUUUAAGACAGAGUCUCACUCUGUUGCCCAGACUGGAGUACAGUAGCAUGAUCUUGGCUUACUGCAACCUCCGCCUCCCUGGUUCAAGCAAUUCUCCUGCCUCAGCCUCCCGAAUAGCUGGGAUUACAGGCAUGCACCACCAUACCCGGCUAAUUUUUGUAUUUUUAGUAGAGAUGGGGUUUCACCAUGUUGGCCAGGCUGGUCUCGAACUCCUGACCUCAGGUGAUUCACCCGCCUUGGCCUCCCAAAGUGCUGGGAUUACAGGUGUGAGCCACUGUGCCCGGCCUCCAUUACACCUCUUUAUUCUAGUUCAACUCAGACCGUGAAGUUAGCAUACAGGUCCUCAGGAGUUUGAGGCCACUUCCCAAGGAUAAGGCCACCUUCAGGCACAUCUGCCUUAAACAUCAAUUUGUGAAGCUUUGGGAGAGGGGAGAACAUACUUUUUUUUAAUAUAAACAUGGGUAUGAACUAGAGUGAAAUUUGUGUGAAUUUUUCACAUAAGACAGGAGAAUUCAAAGAAAUUUCAUGUAUGUUAGUGGCUGCUUUAACUAAAGCCCUCCAGGGUAUACAUUCAUUUUUCUUUGCUGCUGCAAGUACACCAACGAGAAGUCUGGGAAGCUCUGAGUUAGUGGGCAGUUUAAUGGUGUUGCCAGAUCAAGAUGACCAGAAUUCAGAGCAGUCCACAAAAUUAUAGAUGCAUGAGUAACCAAAAUAAUGCAUUUUACAUUUUCUUUCUUUUCUAGAAUUCCAGGUUACCGAGUUGGUUGUUAUUACUGCCUUUUCCAAAAUGAAAAACUGCUUCCUGAAACAGUAACGAUAGACUCUGAACGUAACCCUUCAGAAUAUGUGGUCUGUUUUUUAGGAGGGUCUGAAAAAGGACUUGAGCUAUAUCCUUUCUUUGGUUUUUGAGAACAUCAGGAAGGAAAACAUGGGAAGGCAGGUGGAAGAAUAUUACUACCAACCUCCAAAAAGCUUUUCUACUCCUCGUGUAUUUAGUUGAAUUUCAUACCUUCAUGUGGCCAUUUUGCCUUGGCUUGUUUGCAUUUGCAGCUCACAUUAUUUGAGAGAUUUUAUAUUUCUUGUUGAGAGAUGAAAUACUGUCUUCAUUAUUCAUCCUUUAUUGCUUCCUUAAGAACAUACUUUCAGGCUUGAAUUGGACAAGUACAUUCAAGGGCUGAAAAAUAACAUGAAUUGUGAGGAAAAGCUUACCUUUCUGCUACAUGCUGCUUUGAGUUACACUCCUGUUGAAGUUAAAGAAUCAGAUG